rnacentral:lncRNA from 10 species
CAGGCGUGAACCACCGCACCCGGCAUAUUUUCUUAAGAUAACCAGUUAUCCCCCACUUUCUGACAGCAUCCAUUUAGAGAGCCCUGCUUCCUUGAACCCUACUCAGGACUACCUAUCAUGCAACCAAACCUUAAAUCCUUUCUGACAUCUUACUGAGUCUUUCGCGCAGUUUUUGGAGGUGUGUGUUCUUCCUUAUACAGUGAGCAGUCAACCCAACUUGUUCAGGGCAGAUUGUGUUCCUGUGUUAUCUGGUCUGGAGCUGCAUAGUUGUUGCCCUAUUCAGAUAGUGUGUGCAUUUUUAAUUUUGUCACAGUCUUCAGUCUCCCAUAUCCCACUAGUGUUGGUCACAUUCUUUGGCCAUCAAAUUUGCAAGUCUUGCCAUGGACUGUCAUGGGUUGAGGGCAUUUCCUUAGGCACCAUCUGAUUGGGUCCCUGAUUAAGGUAUGUGUUAGAUACUCAACAUCAGGUCUGGGGUCCUCCUAAGUGAUGACCAGUGACUUCAACCUCCCACAAAGUGGACUUCAAUUUGCACAGCAUCCAGGGUAGGUUGCUGGGGGGAAACUCUGCUGGAGGGAAUGAUGAUCAUCAGGAAAUCAGCACCAGCUCACAUUUCACACAUGAGAUUCUGUGAAGCUGGGCUGAAACAACUCCACACACUGAUGCUCAACACAGCUUAUUGGCUGAAUGCCUAAUCAGAUCCUAAUUCCGUGGUAAUUGCUGGCCCAUGAUACAGUUAAUACCCUGAUCUUGAAUAUAUCUUUGAUCAGAUAUAUUCUGAACAGAUGUGCUGUUCAGUGAAGGGAUAAUAAACUUGCAUAUUACAGUUUCAGAAAAUUAAAAUCCCUGGUGGAUGGUGUCUUUGAUUAAAGUCAGCUUGUUAUAGUUUCCUCCUGGUUCUUGUACUCUGUCCACUGAAAAAUAGUUUGCUUAUCAGAGCAGACUCUAGAGAGGCACAGGAUGUGAGCACUGGACCUUGGCAGCAUCUAGUGACAUCCCCUAGGGCUGCCUUAUCUGUGUCACCCAGCUAGUUUACGCCAGUGCUAUGCCUUGAGCCCAUGUUUUUCUGGGUCCUGAUUCCAGAGCCGGCUGCUCAGCUGAUUGCUGGGUCAUCCCAUGCUUCAGGGACCUCAUCCUAGGCUCUGCCUGAUGUAACCUGCC